AGUUACGCUUGUGCGUUCCAAAAUGGGUGUAAAUACUUUCCGAAUGCACUGUCACGUUAAGCUUUGCUCUUUUGUUCUGGCCAGCAGCUAAUCAGUUUGGAGCCAGACUCUGUUGUCUAUCCGCUUUGAUUAUCCGACUAAUCUUUCCGCAAAGAUGGGAGAUUACCAUUUUCCUGCCCCCACCCCGGCACGACCCGAGUUAUUUAUCCGCCGCGUGUGUGUGACAUGUGUUUAAGCGGCCUCGCUUGUUUGCUGUUUAAUUGAUCGACGGUUCCACUAGUCCAUGUGUAGUCCAGAUGAGGCCAACCGGAGGUCUCCGAGGAGGAAGAGGAGGCGUGAGCACGGGAAGUCGAGUGGGGAAAUGAGAAACAAAAGAAGUGAUUUGGAGAGAGUCUGGACAAUCCGUUACGAUCCGAUGCAGAAUUAAUACUGAUCAAGAUUUUCUGGUACUGAAAAUGGGCCUUAACGAGGAGACUGAGGUUGCCGUUAUCAACAGAGCCUUUAGAAAAACAUAUUUUCAUAAAGGAAUCGCAGGAAGAGUUCAAACAAGUGGAACAUUCCCAAGUGUGGAUAUUGUAAUUGAAAACUUGAAUGUAAAUGACUCAGGGCCAUACUGGUGUGUGUAUUCAAAACUGGAUGACGACUACCAUCAACUGGUCACAAAAGGUAAUGGAUCUGUUCUUCUAACGGUGACCGGAUAUACUCGUGAAUCAACAACAGCCAUAACGGGAGAGGCAAAAUGUGAUGCAUCAAGUCUUUCGUUGGUUGUGGUUUAUGUUCGCAUCAUCGUCAUUGUUCUGAUUGGCCUCAUGCUAGGUUUUAGCAUUUUGAUCAUGCACAAGAAUCACAACAAACAACCACUUGAAUGACGCGUUGUGAUGAUUUUAAUGAAAAAAGAAAAACAUACAAGUCUGGAGACAUGAAACACAGGAUAUCAAGUACGGACAAAAAGCAAACAAUGAGCAAAAGAUUGGAGAAACAGGUGAUGGAGCCAAAUGGAAAUUAGACAUUGAAACAAAACUAAAAUCCAAAAUAUAAAUACUGAGAUGUAAAGUGACACAAGAAACAAAUAGACCAAUGAGGGGAAACACAGAGAUUGAGGGUAAAAGGACCUGGAAACCAAAGUGCAAAAUCUCACAAAUCUGACAUUGUCAUAUCCUUUAGAUAUGACAAUCAUAUUUAAAGGAAUUUGAGGUCUGUAUAAAGCACAAUUGUUGUUCUAUAAUGACUUAAUUCACAGUUCCAACAUGAUGUUUGAUGAUGUAGACCUAUUAAAACUUGGUAUUUUGGUGAGAAAUAACUUUUUCUUUCUUUCUUUUUCUGAGAAGAAUGUCAAAGCCUUAUUAUCUGCUAUCGAUGCAGAUUUGCUGAGCUGCCACAAGAGAGCACUAUUAAUGCGACAAAGCACAGGGCUUCCAAUUUUUGGUAACUCCACACAUUUGACGUCCUUCUGCAAGAAUAAAAAGAAACAAAGAUGGUGAAAAAAAAAGUUCUUAAUAAUGGAAGAGAGACUGACCAUCACAAAACUCAAUAUUAUAAGCCUUUAAUUGGGAAAUUGCACUUGAAGCAAAGGUGUAGGUGAAUACAAUUUCUUUCUCCAUCAAAAAGCACUCAGAAACUGUGACAAAGUCUGACAGGAAGAGUUCUGGCAGACUGAAAAUCACUCAGAAAUCAUUUCUGAGAAUUAGCAGCUAUCGUGACAAGCAGCUCGUAGUACAACAGAUUUCAAGCUGCAGGUUUGACACAAC